rnacentral:rRNA from 1 species
UCCGCAGGUGGCCUCGUAAGUUGAAUGUGAAAUCUCAGGGCUUAACCCUGAAACUGCAUCCAAUACUGCGAGGUUUGAGUCCAAGAGAGGUUGGCGGAAUUCCCGGUGUAGCGGUGAAAUGCGUAGAUAUCGGGAGGGAACACCAGUGGCGAAGGCGGCCAACUGGCUUGGAACUGACACUCAGGGACGAAAGCGUGGGUAGCGAACC